rnacentral:rRNA from 1 species
AUUUUCUGCCACCGAAUACAUUAGCAUGGGAUAAUGGAAUAGGACCCUGUCCUCCUAUUUUCAGUUGGUUUUGGCAGCGCGAGGACUAGGGUAAUGAUUAAUAGGGAUAGUUGGGGGCAUUAAUAUUUAAUUGUCAGAGGUGAAAUUCUUGGAUUUAUGAAAGAUUAACUUCUGCGAAAGCAUCUGCCAAGGAUGUUUUCAUUAAUCAAGAACGAAAGUUAGGGGAUCGAAGACGAUCAGAUACCGUCGUAGUCUUAACCAUAAACGAUGCCGACCAGCGAUUAGGAGACGUUGAAUACAAAACACCACCAUCGGCGCGGUCGUCCUUGGCGUUCGUGUUCACGCACGAGCGCGAGGGCGGCUUAGCCCGAUGGCACCGGUGAAUGACUCCCCUAGC